GUUGAUGGGAAUGUUGUUUGGCUCGAGGUAUCUGCAUGAAACUGGUGUGGUUUUGACUUUUUGUUCAUCCUUUGAAGCUUAAUUUCUGGGUUUCAUUCUUCUUGAUCCCUUCAAACAAAAAAGCUUUAAAGGUUGAAUUUUGAGGCUACCCUUCGUGUGAUCUCGGACCAGGCUUCAUUCCCGUUAAC
rnacentral:pre_miRNA from 1 species